UACAGAGGGGGCAAGCGUUGUUCGGAAUUACUGGGCGUAAAGGGCGCGUAGGCGGCCGCCUAAGUCAGACGUGAAAUCCCUCGGCUCAACCGGGGAACUGCGUCUGAUACUGGGUGGCUUGAAUCCGGGAGAGGGAUGCGGAAUUCCAGGUGUAGCGGUGAAAUGCGUAGAUAUCUGGAGGAACACCGGUGGCGAAGGCGGCAUCCUGGACCGGCAUUGACACUGAGGAGCGAAAGCCAGGGGAGCAAACGGG
rnacentral:rRNA from 1 species